rnacentral:rRNA from 1 species
AUUGAACGCUGGCGGCAGGCCUAACACAUGCAAGUCGAACGAGUGGCGGACGGGUGAGUAAUGUCUGGUAAACUGCCUGAUGGAGUGGGAUAACUACUGGAAACGGUAGCUAAUACCGCAUACCAUCGGAUGUGCCCCGAUGGGAUUAGCUAGUAGGUGGGGUAAAGGCUCACCUAGGCGACGAUCCCUAGCUGGUCUGAGAGGAUGACAAGCAAAACUGGAACUGAGACACGGUCCAGACUCCUACGGGAGGCAGAAGUGGGGAAUAUUGCACAAUGGGCGCAAGCCUGAUGCAGCCAUGCCGAGUGUAUGAAGAAGGCCUUCGGGUUGUAAAGUACUUUCAGCGGGGAGGCGUUACCCGAAGAAGAAGCACCGGCUAACUCCGUGCCAGCAGCCGCGGUAAUUC